CAAAUAACAAUCAUCACAUAAAUUUUUCAUACUAACACACAUGCAUCCUUAAAUAAAUAAGAGCAGUUCUAAAGCAUCCACAUCACCCAUUACAUCAUGCUCACAUAGUCUUACACACCAUAGGAAAUUUAAAACUUAGUUCGAUACAAAUGAGAUACAUAAGUCCAUCCAUUUUCGCUCCCCCUUUGGCAUCAAGUGCCAAAAAGGAAAUGAAACACAACAGCAGCUACUCAUCGUCGUUGUCAUCAUCCUCGUCCUCG
rnacentral:lncRNA from 1 species